GAAUUCGCCUUUAGGCGGGGAAUAACUAUGGGAAACCAUAGCUAAUGCCCCAUAUGCUCGAAAGAGUGAAAGGAGCAAUCCACCCAAAGAGAAGCUCGCGGCUGAUUAGCUAGUUGGUAAGGUAAUGGCUUACCAAGGCGACGAUCAGUAGCUGGUUUGAGAGAACGAUCAGCCACACUGGAACUGAGACACGGUCCAGACUCCUACGGGAGGCAGCAGUGGGGAAUUUUCCGCAAUGGGCGCAAGCCUGACGGAGCAAUACCGCGUGAGGGAUGACGGCCUUUGGGUUGUAAACCUCUUUUAUCAAGGAGGAAGUUCUGACGUGUACUUGAUGAAUAAGCAUCGGCUAACUCCGUGCCAGCAGCCGCAGUAAGACGGAGGAUGCAAGUGUUAUCCGGAAUCACUGGGCGUAAAGCGUCUGUAGGUGGUUUAAAAAGUCUACUGUUAAAAAUUGAAGCUUAACUUCAAAGAUGCCGUAGAAACUUUUAAACUUGAGGAUGGUAGGGGUAGAGGGAAUUUCCAGUGGAGCGGUGAAAUGCGUAGAUCUUGGAAAGACCACCAAUGGCGAAGGCACUCUACUGGGCCAUUACU
rnacentral:rRNA from 1 species